rnacentral:rRNA from 1 species
GCAUUUUUGUAGCAAUAGUAGAGAUGGCGACCGGCGCACGGGUGAGUAACACGUAUCCAACCUGCCGAUAACUCCGGGAUAGCCUUUCGAAAGAAAGAUUAAUACCGGAUAGUAUACGAAUAUCGCAUGAUAUUUUUAUUAAAGAAUUUCGGUUAUCGAUGGGGAUGCGUUCCAUUAGUUUGUUGGCGGGGUAACGGCCCACCAAGACUACGAUGGAUAGGGGUUCUGAGAGGAAGGUCCCCCACAUUGGAACUGAGACACGGUCCAAACUCCUACGGGAGGCAGCAGUGAGGAAUAUUGGUCAAUGGACGAGAGUCUGAACCAGCCAAGUAGCGUGAAGGAUGAAGGCUCUAUGGGUCGUAAACUUCUUUUAUAUGGGAAUAAAGUUUUCCACGUGUGGAAUUUUGUAUGUACCAUAUGAAUAAGGAUCGGCUAACUCCGUGCCAGCAGCCGCGGUAAUACGGAGGAUCCGAGCGUUAUCCGGAUUUAUUGGGUUUAAAGGGAGCGUAGGUGGAUUGUUAAGUCAGUUGUGAAAGUUUGCGGCUCAACCGUAAAAUUGCAGUUGAAACUGGCAGUCUUGAGUACAGUAGAGGUGGGCGGAAUUC